UACAGAGGGUGCAAGCGUUGUUCGGAAUUAUUGGCGUAAAGCGCGUGUAGGCGGCUUUGCAAGUCGGGUGUGAAAGCCCUCAGCUUAACUGAGGAAGUGCGCCCGAAACUGCUUAGCUUGAGUACCGGAGAGGAUGGUGGAAUUCCCAAGUAGAGGUGAAAUGCGUAGAUAUCUGGAGGAACACCGGUGGCGAAGGCGGCAUCCUGGACCAAUACGUGACGCUGAGGAGUGAAAGCCAGGGGAGCAAACGGG
rnacentral:rRNA from 1 species